rnacentral:rRNA from 1 species
ACUACGGGAGGCAGCAGUGGGGAAUAUUGCACAAUGGGGGGAACCCUGAUGCAGCGACGCCGCGUGAGUGAAGAAGUAUUUCGGUAUGUAAAGCUCUAUCAGCAGGGAAGAAAAUGACGGUACCUGACUAAGAAGCCCCGGCUAACUACGUGCCAGCAGCCGCGGUAAUACGUAGGGGGCAAGCGUUAUCCGGAUUUACUGGGUGUAAAGGGAGCGCAGACGGCUGUGCAAGUCUGGAGUGAAAGGCGGGGGCCCAACCCCCGGACUGCUCUGGAAAAUGUAAAGCUGGAGUGCAGGAGAGGUAAGCGGAAUUCCUAGUGUAGCGGUGAAAUGCGUAGAUAUUAGGAGGAACACCAGUGGCGAAGGCGGCUUACUGGACUGCAACUGACGUUGAGGCUCGAAAGCGUGGGGAGCAAACAGGAUUAGAUACCCUUGUAGUC